rnacentral:rRNA from 1 species
GAUGAACGCUGGCGGCGUGCCUAAUACAUGCCAGUCGAGCGAACGGACGAGAAGCUUGCUUUUCUGAUGUUAGCGGCGGACGGGUGAGUAACACGUGGAUAACCUACCUAUAAGACUGGGAUAACUUCGGGAAACCGGAGCUAAUACCGGAUAAUAUUUUGAACCGCAUGGUUCAAAAGUGAAAGACGGUCUUGCUGUCACUUAUAGAUGGAUCCGCGCUGCAUUAGCUAGUUGGUAAGGUAACGGCUUACCAAGGCAACGAUGCAUAGCCGACCUGAGAGGGGGAAGGGCCAACCUGGAACUGAGACACGGUCCAGACCCCCAGGGGGGGCAGCAGUAGGGAAUUUUCCGAAAGGGGGGAAAGCCUGACGGGGAAACGCCGGGUGAGUGAUGAAGGUCUUCGGAUCGUAAAACCCUGUUAUUAGGGAAAAAAAAAUGUUAAAGUAACGGGCACCAUCUGGACGGUACCUAUACAAAAAGCCACGGCAAACUACGG